GGAGCUGGCCAGAGUGUACGGA
rnacentral:siRNA from 1 species